UGGGGAAUAUUGGACAAUGGGGGCAACCCUGAUCCAGCAAUACCGCGUGUGUGAAGAAGGCCUUCGGGUUGUAAAGCACUUUAGGCGGGGAAGAAGGUUACCAUUUUAAGAGAUAGGUAACUUGACGGUACCCGCAGAAUAAGCACCGGCUAACUCUGUGCCAGCAGCCGCGGUAAUACAGAGGGUGCAAGCGUUAAUCGGAAUUACUGGGCGUAAAGGGCGCGUAGGUGGUUGCGUAAGUGAGAUGUGAAAUCCCCGGGCUUAACCUGGGACGUGCAUCUUAUACUGCGUAACUGGAGUGCAAUAGAGGGUAGUGGAAUUUCCGGUGUAGCGGUGAAAUGCGUAGAUAUCGGAAGGAACACCAGUGGCGAAGGCGGCUACCUGGAUUGACACUGACACUGAGGCGCGAAAGCGUGGGGAGCAAACAGGAUUAGAUACCCCCGUAGUCC
rnacentral:rRNA from 1 species